rnacentral:rRNA from 1 species
CCCUUACGACCAGGGCUACACACGUGCUACAAUGGUCGGUACAAAGGGUUCCUAGCGAUAGAUGCUAUCUAAAAAGCCGAUCGUAGUCCGGAUUGGAGUCUGCAACUCGACUCCAUGAAGUCGGAAUCGCUAGUAAUCGCGGAUCAGAAUGCCGGUGAAUACGUUCCCGGGCCUUGUACACACCGCCCGUCACACCAUGGGAGUUUGUUGCACCAGAAGUAGGUAGUCUAACCGUAAGGAGGACGCUUACACGGUGUGGCCGAUGACUGGGGUGAAGUCGUAACAAGGUAACC